ACUUCCCCAAGCCUGUAAGCCCUACUUCCUCAUGUAAUCCUUGUCCUACCAAAUAUAAGCAUCUGGCUUAUGCGGGGCUGCAGAGCAGAUUUCUGUGAGUGACCUGCUGCUCUCCCAUACUGCCGGCAGUAUUGGAAUAAAUGCUCAUAUAUGAUUCAACUUUGUCUCUGCUUAAUUGGCAGAAGAAAUGCCA